AGAACCACAGUGGUUUACAUCAGCAGCAACAGCAGCAGAAUACAGCAAAUACUUUGGGGCUAGACUGUUCCAGGCAGACAAGACAAGAAUAGGUGAGUACCUCUCAAUACAGACAGGAUAUAACUGCUGACGAAACGCAUGACAUGUAACAAUAAUCCAACAAAGAAUCUACCAGAGCAAACACCAGAUAAAGGGUGAACACUUAGGGCAAAGUAGAAACAGGUGUCAAAGCAAUGACAAACAGGUGCAUGAAGAGAGAGAGGUCAGCAGGACAGAGAAAGAGAAAGUGUAAUAUAAUAAUGAGCUAAUAAGGUGUGUGUGUGAGUGUGAGUGUGUGUGUGUAAGUAAAUGAGUGAGAGAACGUGCGAGAGAGAAAACGGAAGAAAAAACCUGACUCAUGACAACAUGAAGACAUAAUUUUCAUUUUUGGGUGAACAAUCCCUUUAAGAGGCUUUUGUGUCGACCCUGAUUUAUUGCACUAUUGAGGUGUUCAGUUUUAUUUAGAUUUUAGAAAAUAAACAUGACUUCUCAUUUUACAAAUCAAUUGUUUCUUAUUUUCACCUGCAUGUCUCAAGUGUCAAGGACUAGUGCAUCUUUGAGCCUAAAUUUAGUAUAAGUAAAAUAAUAAAGUACUGUUAAAAUCACUUUUACUCAAGUCGUAUUGGUAACUUGUAAUAGAGUAAUUUAUUCUGCAAGGUAUCUGUCUUUUUACUCAAGUAUGGUUUUCAGGUACUCUUUACACCUCUGAGUUUUACUAAUGCCAUUUUCCAGAUGAGAUUGCGUUAAGUGAUGCUGAAGACAGUGGGAGCGAAUCUGAUGACAGCAACACAGAUAUCACCGCAUCAGAGUUUGGAACUGUGGAGCCUAUGGAUUUAGACUCUACAACCACAGAGCAAGAUCAUGACAUGGGAGACUUUGGUAUGUUAACUCAAUUCAUAGUCACUGAUGAUAAAAUGUAUUUUUUCCUGUGACACAAGUAACUUGUUAAAAUUGUUUUCAACAGGAUCCGUGUCAUUUGUGUCAUCCACAGUAAGUGAGAGUGUACCUCCCUCUGAAGGGAAUCAUGCUGCUGAGGAACAUGGAUCCAGAAGAGUGGCAAAGAAAGUGUGGUCUAAGGCUGAGGUCGCCGCAGUAAUGCGACACUUCAAAGGUCAUAUAAGCAGGGGAAAACUGGCCACCAAAACUGAAUGCAGUCACUGCAAACUGGUGGAAGACCCCGUGUUGGCACAAAGAACAGUGCAAAAUAUAAGGGACUCUGUUCGAAAUAGAGGAAUAGCUGCAAAGAGACAGUCAGAAAAAGAAAAGAUUUAAAUACACUGACAAUUGUGGUGUAUACGGUUAGAAGAUGGCUGUGUGUCAUGUGACCUUGUUAUUCGUUCACACUGUGACUAUACAAAUCACAACAUGUAAAUAGGAAAAUGUUGGCGUUAUUUUGUCACUUAUUGGGAGCAGUAUACUAGCUGUAGCCGUUUACCUCCAGUCUUUGUGCUAAGCUAGGCUAGCGGUGGGUGCGUCAGACAGAGUUAAGGCAUGCACGGAGAUGAGAAGGGUAUGUAUGGACUCAUCUAACUCUGGGGGAUACGGUGAAUAAGCUAAAGUCCAAAGUUCCUUUAAUGUUUUAAAAAAGUGUGGCUCUUGUGUUUUAAGUUGUUGUCUGCCUGUUAUAGUUUGUAAUGAUGUUCAGUACAAAAAUAGAAGUUCAAAUGACAAAGAGGCCAUCACAAAAGCAAACUGUAGAACAGUUUUAAUUUUUGUUCUUGUUUUUACAUUUUAUUUAUUUUGUUAUGAGCAACCAUGGGUCUUUUGAAGUUGGGUAAGAAUAACUUAUUUGAACUUUUUUGCUCAAUUCUCAUUGUCAUGGCACUUGUGUUGUGUGACAAUCUAUUGUUACAGGCUGUUAGUCAGUGUCACCAACUAACACUGGUGAUGUAGAGUUGUAGAGAUGUAGAGUAGAGUUGUGCAAUAAAAUAAUAAAAUAAUAAUAAUAAUAAUUGAAGUCCCAUUAAUGCUUGGUGGUGUCAGGUUAAUGUGCAUUUAUGUUAAUAAGCAAUUAUUUAAACGACAUCGUUGUCCCUUUAAAGUCCCAAUAAUGUUUGUUUUGGUACUCAUAAGUCACAUAUUCUUCAAAAGUAGAACUGUCUCUAUAAACCACAAUAGUUUUAGGGUGGUGUGAAUCACGCUCUGAAGGGUGUAUCUGAAGUCUAAAGUGUCCUGAAUUUUGUUCAAUUUUUUUUUUUAGUGUUUUAAUCGAACUCUCAUAGCUCUAGGACCUCAGGAAAGGGUAGUCCAUCUAAACCACCACCGGGCCUGUUUGGAGAAAAAGUCUGGCUAAUCCACAUAGACCCGUGUGUGUGUGUGGAUAAAAAAUGAGACUAAAUGACAGAUAGACCCGCAGUCUACUCUCACAACCAUUUAUGUUUUGAAUGCAUUUAUAACCAACAAAUUUAACCUUUAUUUAACCAGGUCAUUUCUUAUUUUCAGUAACAGCCUGUAAUUACAUUAUUGGCAGUUUAUUGUAUGGAUCUAUAUUUUCAAGUUGAUGAAUAUUUUAAUAAGUUGUGAUCAAAUAUCAGGUGACACUGAUACUAUGUUGAGUUUUCAUCCAAACCAUCAUUUUUGACAUAAGUGAGUUUACAUGUACACUUUAGGCACCUAUAUGUCCCACACUGCUGUACAUCAUUAGCUGGGUUUCCAUCCAAAGUUGCGAAUUUAACUUAUGCGCAAAACUGGAAUAUCGCAUAAAACAUUUGCGAACAAGCAUCGUUUCCAUCCAACGAGUCAAAGAGAACAAAAUCAUCACUUCCUGAUAAACUGGCACUAUACAUCACUAAGAAAAGUAGGAGAAUAUAAUAAUCUUCAUAUAUAAUAAAUCACUUGCGCCUCAGAGCGAGCAGACGAAACAAUGCGGUCAAUGCUUUCGGAGGUGGAUGCUGCCGUUUGGGAACACAGUCGUAUAAGACAUUUCUGGAAGGCAAUGACACUAUUUUCUUAUGAAUUGAGUUUAAUUACGAAUGAACUUUACCAUUAAUAUCAACUGAACUAAUAAUAAUAACACUUAUAUUGAUGGCAUUUAAUUUUGACAGUGGUGAAUGUAAAAAUCUGCAAAGUUUCAAAGAUGAAUUUCAUAUUCAUAACAGUGUGUCUGGGAACAAACCAAAAUUUUGAGAACAACUGGACUAUAACAAAGCAGAUGCUCAGGUGUGGUCACAGAGUUCCUAUGUAUAAGACAAAAAAAAUAAAAUGUCAGACUCAUAAAGAGGUGAAAAAUGCAAAUAGUCAUGAAGGUGGAUGAUCAGAUUUGGGUCACUUUUCGGCUGCGGUGAGAACGUAGCUUUAGUUUCACACAGAUACGUAUUUUCUGGUGCCAUUUAAAACGCUUCCCACACGAAGAACACAAAUAUGGUUUCACAUCUGCAUGACUUAGGUGUAUUUGUAAGUGUGAUGGCAAAAGAAAUGUUUUAUUACACUGAUCACAAUUAAACUGCCUUCCUCCAGAUCGAUCGUGCUUUUGAUCUUUCAAACUGCUCAUUUUUCUAAGCCUCUUUCUGCUUGCAGAGCACUGCAGUUUCUUUCCAGAAUGUGCUUGCAAAUGACGUUUCAGGUCUCUUUGAUAUGUGAAGCUCCUCUUACACUGAAGACACGUGAAAGGUUUUUCUCCAGUGUGAAGCCUCCUGUGAAUCUGAAGGGUUAUUUUCUGAUUGAAACUCUUUCCACAGUGAGUGCAGGUGAAAGGUUUCUCUCCGGAGUGGAUUCUCAUGUGAACCUUAAAUUUUCCUUUAAAUCUGAAGCUCUUUCCACACUCAUGGCACGUGAAAGACUCUCGAGAAUGAACUUUUUCAUGCCAGCUAAGGCGUCUCUGCAUGACUUAGGUGUAUUU
rnacentral:lncRNA from 1 species